GACGAACGCUGGCGGUGUGCCUAAUACAUGCAAGUUGAGCGCUGACGGUUGGUACUUUUACUGACAGGAUGAGCAGCGAACGGGCGAGUAACGAGUGGGGAAUCUGCCACUGAGUGGGGGACAAUAACUGGAAAAGAAUGCUAAUACUGCAUAAAAACUUUAAACACAAGAAUUAAGUUUGAUAGAUGCAAUUGCAUAACUCAAAGAUCAUUCCGCGUUUUAUUAGCUAGUUGGGGAGGUAAAGGCCCACCAAGGCGGUGAUACAUAGCCGGCCUGAGAGGGAGAUCGGCCACAAUUGGAAUUGGACACGGCCCAAACUUCUACGGGAAGCAGCAGGAGGGAAGUAUCGGCAAUGGACGAAAGUCUUACCGAGCACCUCCGCGUGAGUGAAGAAGGUUUUCGGAUCGGAAAACUCUGUUGGUAGAGAAGAACGUGGGUGAGAGUGGAAAGCUCAUCAAGUGACGGUAACUACCCAGUAAGGGACGGCUAACUACGUG
rnacentral:rRNA from 1 species